rnacentral:rRNA from 1 species
AUACGUAGGUGGCAAGCGUUGUCCGGAAUUAUUGGGCGUAAAGCGCAUGUAGGCGGUUUGGUAAGUCGGUCGUGAAAAUGCGGUGCUUAACGCCGUAUGGGGAUCGAAACUGCUGAACUUGAGUGCAGGAGAGGGAAGGGGACCUCCCAGUGUAGAGGUGAAAUGCGUAGAUAUUGGGAAGAACACCGGUGGCGAAGGCGCCUUUCUGGACUGUGUCUGACGCUCAGAUGCGAAAGCCAGGGUAGCGAACGGGAUUAGAUACCCCGGUAGUCCUGGCCGUAAACGAUGGGUACUAGGUGUGGGAGGUAUCGACUCCUUCCGUGCCGGAGUUAACGCAAUAAGUACCCCGCCUGGGGAGUACGGCCGCAAGGCUUAAACUCAAAGGAAUUGACGGGG